rnacentral:rRNA from 1 species
CCUGGCUCAGGACGAACGCUGGCGGCGUGCCUAAUACAUGCAAGUCGAGCGCGGGAAGCGAGUGGAUCCCUUCGGGGUGAAGCUCGUGGAACGAGCGGCGGACGGGUGAGUAACACGUGGGCAACCUGCCUGUAAGAUCGGAAUAACCCCGGGAAACCGGGGCUAAUGCCGGGUAAUACUUUCUUUCGCAUGAAGGAAAGUUGAAAGAUGGCUUCUCGCUAUCACUUACAGAUGGGCCCGCGGCGCAUUAGCUAGUUGGUGAGGUAACGGCUCACCAAGGCGACGAUGCGUAGCCGACCUGAGAGGGUGAUCGGCCACACUGGGACUGAGACACGGCCCAGACUCCUACGGGAGGCAGCAGUAGGGAAUCUUCCGCAAUGGACGAAAGUCUGACGGAGCAACGCCGCGUGAACGAUGAAGGUCUUCGGAUCGUAAAGUUCUGUUGUUAGGGAAGAACAAUACCGUGCGAAUAGAGCGGUACCUUGACGGUACCUAACGA